UCUUCUGACAACCCUUCUAAAGAGCCUGUGGUUGUGGAGGUGGAGUCUGAUGGGGCUUUCUUCUGGCAACCCUUCCAAAGAGCCUGUGGUUGUGGAGGUGGAGUCUGAUGGGGCUUUCUUCUGACAACCCUUCUAAAGAGCCUGUGGUUGUGGAGGUGGAGUCUGAUGGGGCUUUCUUCUGGCAACCCUUCCAAAGAGCCUGUGGAUGUGGAGGUGGAGUCUGAUGGGGCUUUCUUCUGGCAACCCUUCUAAAGAGCCUGUGGUUGUGGAGGUGGAGUCUGAUGGGGAUUUCUUCUGGCAACCCUUCUAAAGAGCCUGUGGUUGUGGAGGUGGAGUCUGAUGGGGCUUUCUUCUGACAACCCUUCUAAAGAGCCUGUGGUUGUGGAGGUGGAGUCUGAUGGGGCUUUCUUCUGGCAACCCUUCCAAAGAGCCUGUGGUUGUGGAGGUGGAGUCUGAUGGGGCUUUCUUCUGACAACCCUUCUAAAGAGCCUGUGGUUGUGGAGGUGGAGUCUGAUGGGGCUUUCUUCUGGCAACCCUUCCAAAGAGCCUGUGGUUGUGGAGGUGGAGUCUGAUGGGGCUUUCUUCUGACAACCCUUCUAAAGAGCCUGUGGUUGUGGAGGUGGAGUCUGAUGGGGCUUUCUUCUGGCAACCCUUCUAAAGAGCCUGUGGUUGUGGAGGUGGAGUCUGAUGGGGCUUUCUUCUGGCAACCCUUCUAAAGAGCCUGUGGUUGUGGAGGUGGAGUCUGAUGGGGCUUUCUUCUGGCAACCCUUCUAAAGAGCCUGUGGUUGUGGAGGUGGAGUCUGAUGGGGCUUUCUUCUGGCAACCCUUCUAAAGAGCCUGUGGUUGUGGAGGUGGAGUCCUUCUGACAACCCUUCUAAAGAGCCUGUGGUUGUGGAGGUGGAGUCUGAUGGGGCUUUCUUCUGGCAACCCUUCUAAAGAGCCUGUGGUUGUGGAGGUGGAGUCUGAUGGGGCUUUCUUCUGGCAACCCUUCUAAAGAGCCUGUGGAGGUGGAGUCUGAUGGGGCUUUCUUCUGGCAACCCUUCUAAAGAGCCUGUGGUUGUGGAGGUGGAGUCUGAUGGGGCUUUCUUCUGGCAACCCUUCUAAAGAGCCUGUGGUUGUGGAGGUGGAGUCUGAUGGGGCUUUCUUCUGACAACCCUUCCAAAGAGCC